GAACGGGUGAGUAACACGUGGGUGAUCUGCCUCGCACUCUGGGAUAAGCCUGGGAAACUGGGUCUAAUACCGGAUAUGACCUUACAUCGCAUGGUGUUUGGUGGAAAGAUUUAUUGGUGCGAGAUGGGCCCGCGGCCUAUCAGCUUGUUGGUGGGGUAAUGGCCUACCAAGGCGACGACGGGUAGCCGGCCUGAGAGGGCGACCGGCCACACUGGGACUGAGACACGGCCCAGACUCCUACGGGAGGCAGCAGUGGGGAAUAUUGCACAAUGGGCGAAAGCCUGAUGCAGCGACGCCGCGUGAGGGAUGACGGCCUUCGGGUUGUAAACCUCUUUCGACAGGGACGAAGCGUAAGUGACGGUACCUGUAGAAGAAGCACCGGCCAACUACGUGCCAGCAGCCGCGGUAAUACGUAGGGUGCGAGCGUUGUCCGGAAUUACUGGGCGUAAAGAGCUUGUAGGCGGCUUGUCGCGUCGAUCGUGAAAACUUGGGGCUCAACCCCAAGCUUGCGGUCGAUACGGGCAGGCUUGAGUACUUCAGGGGAGACUGGAAUUCCUGGUGUAGCGGUGAAAUGCGCAGAUAUCAGGAGGAACACCGGUGGCGAAGGCGGGUCUCUGGGAAGUAACUGACGCUGAGAAGCGAAAGCGUGGGUAGCGAACAGGAUUAGAUACCCUGGUAGUCCACGCCGUAAACGGUGGGUACUAGGUGUGGGUUUCCUUCCACGGGAUCCGUGCCGUAGCUAACGCAUUAAGUACCCCGCCUGGGGAGUACGGCCGCAAGGCUAAAACUCAAAGGAAUUGACGGGGGCCCGCACAAGCGGCGGAGCAUGUGGAUUAAUUCGAUGCAACGCGAAGAACCUUACCUGGGUUUGACAUACACCGGAAACCUGCAGAGAUGUAGGCCCCCUUGUGGUCGGUGUACAGGUGGUGCAUGGCUGUCGUCAGCUCGUGUCGUGAGAUGUUGGGUUAAGUCCCGCAACGAGCGCAACCCUUAUCUUAUGUUGCCAGCGCGUAAUGGCGGGGACUCGUGAGAGACUGCCGGGGUCAACUCGGAGGAAGGUGGGGACGACGUCAAGUCAUCAUGCCCCUUAUGUCCAGGGCUUCACACAUGCUACAAUGGCCGGUACAGAGGGCUGCGAUACCGCGAGGUGGAGCGAAUCCCUUAAAGCCGGUCUCAGUUCGGAUCGGGGUCUGCAACUCGACCCCGUGAAGUUGGAGUCGCUAGUAAUCGCAGAUCAGCAACGCUGCGGUGAAUACGUUCCCGGGCCUUGUACACACCGCCCGUCACGUCAUGAAAGUCGGUAACA
rnacentral:rRNA from 1 species